ensembl:lncRNA SOX5-AS1 SOX5 antisense RNA 1
AGCAUUCUGAACAGCAAUGCUCAUCACAUAAACAUGAAGUUUCCUCCAAAAGGAAUGAUGACUAAUGCUUUGAGGAAACAGCAGACGUCAGACAGCAAGCCCAGAAAAACCUGCCAGCACCAAGAGGGUGUCCUCAACAGGCGCCUGGGGGACAUAUUAUUCUAACUAAAGAGACCAGAGCUUCCCCAGGAAGGGAAGAGGAGAGAAAUGAAGAACGUCUGUGUUCAUGUUUGCCAAAAACAAAAGUCUGAGAAAUCUCUGAGAGACUCUACAUGGGAGCAUCAAGCACAAAUGAUGAUCUCCUAGGACAGUGGCAGCUUCUGAGAAUGCACAGGAAAGUGACCAGGGAAAGAAUGAUUCCAUCUCCAGGAAUCCCUGGUGAUCUUCAGAGCCCAGACAGGACCCUGCUGGGCCAUGGUAACUGAGAAACUGAGAAGCAGAUACAGUGGUCCCUAUGUUGGCAACCUCAGCUGAAGAGGAACAACUCUCUCUAUAAUCAAGGACUUCUGAAACCAGAAAUCACCAGCGUGGGGAGAGAACAUUAAAGGCAGAGGUGUCUCUUAUAAGCACAACGUGUGACCAGAACUUGGAUUACUGUCAGCUUCUAGUGUCUCCAUCAUUCAUAAUUGCACUGUGUUGGUCCACCCACUUUACUCCUAAAGAAGAGGUAAGAAACAGAAGAGGAGAUCACAGUGGCUCUUCAACUAUUAAUAUACCACAGACUUCAAUAACAAAUGAAGAGAAACAAGAAAAGAAAGCAAUGCAAAAAGAACGGUACUAUUAUCUCAAUUUUAGAGAUGGAAAAACUAAGCAACAAGUAGUUACAGAAGUUGUCCAGGAUCGCACAGUUAGACAACGGCAGUCAAGUUCUGGUGAGCCCAAAGGCUCCAUCUUAACCACUCUUCUAGGCUACCUCUCCAGGAUGGAAGACACUAUCUUUUCAGGUUUCCAUUCAAUAGAAAAGUCAUCUUGAAGAAGUUUGAUGUUGGAUUUGAUUUUGAAAGACGAAUUGGAGAUUAAGAAGUGGUAAUAAGAGUAAAGAAAAAAACCCAAAUAGAAUUACAAGCACAAAGAGAUGUAGAAAUAAAUAUUUCUUGGAAAGAU